CAAUGGGGGAAACCCUGNAUGCAGCGACGCCGCGCUGGAGGAAGAAGGUCUUCGGCAUUGUAAACUCCUGUUGUUGAGGAAGAUAAUGACGGUACUCAACAAGGAAGUGACGGCUAACUACGUGCCAGCAGCCGCGGUAAAACGUAGGUCACAAGCGUUGUCCGGAAUUACUGGGUGUAAAGGGAGCGCAGGCGGGAGAACAAGUUGGAAGUGAAAUCCAUGGGCUCAACCCAUAAACUGCUUUCAAAACUGUUUUUCUUGAGUAGUGCAGAGGUAGGCGGAAUUCCCGGUGUAGCGGUGGAAUGCGUAGAUAUCGGGAGGAACACCAGUGGCGAAGGCGGCCUACUGGGCACCAACUGACGCUGAGGCUCGAAAGUGUGGGUAGCAAACAGGAUUAGAUACCCUGGUAGUCUAAGGGCGAAUUC
rnacentral:rRNA from 1 species